GAAACAAUUUCUCCUUUUCUGCUAUAUCAUCUUGUGGGUCUCAACGAUGCAGGAAUCACUGGCUUUCAGAGCUCUUUGCUCUCCAAUCUGAGGAAAUAGCUACAUCGUGAGAAUUUCCCUACCAUGUCCUCUGAAUGCAGAGGCCAGACACACUGCAUGGCAGAUAUGAGCCCUCAGUAAAUGUUUCCUGAAUUGAAAUAAAAAG